AGUUUGGAGGAUGUUUAAAUAAACUACAACAAAUCCAGAGAACAGAUCAUAAAAGCUCACUCUCAUCUCAUGAUUCUUCAUCAACGUUUAGAAACAGUGUAUCACAUGGACCUUGAAGAAGAGGUAGAAGUACUUACAAAAUUUUGGAGCUAAAAGGAAGCACAAGAAUCCCGUAGUCAUCUUUUACUACCCACACAUACGUGUAGUUAGAAUCAGAGUAAGCAUCAGAUUAUGAUCUUUAGCCUCCAUAGAUUAUCCUGCCAUAUGAUCUCAUGAACAGGAAUAUACUUUACCAACUUUCUCUUUUCAAACUUAACUAGACACCACUCCACUUUGCUACAACUCUUGUAAUGCACUGCUUACUCAUUCUGGAAUUUGGAGAAAGGAUGGAGAAUGAAGAAGGAAUGGGAAAUCAAAUUUUAAAGACUGCAGGCUGCAUAGCAGCACAUGACACCAGGCAGCAAGCUACUAAGGAACAGUUGGACAACAAGCAGUUGCCACCGCUAGACUAGGACUUCAAGCACGUGUUCUGCAAACAGGCACUGUUACACUGAAGACGGGACACUGUUGUGAAGGAGAACUAAGGGGUUGAUGUUGGAAAAGGGCUGAGGAACAGAAACCUGGCAAUGCUAAGAUGCAUGCAGGAAGAAAGAAAAAAACAGCCCGUAAGACUGAGAUGGCAUAGUCAAAAAGGUAGGAGACAAACAGGAUAGACUGGUGUCAUGAAACAGUUGUAGACAAGUAUACUAGGAAUACAGCUCCAUGAAAGCAUUCUCAUCAAUAGCUGUAUUAAGCAGAAAGCAAGUCCAGCUGCUGAGAGAAGGACUGAGAGACUUCCACUUUGAAGCCCUCUGAUUACUCCUCCUCAUUUCUCAAGUAUUUCAAAAUAAGUACCUUGGCAGUACUUACUCUGUAUGACACUUUUAUAAACCUUACACUAUUUUUAAAAACUGCUCAUGUUUAAACUGUAGUCUUGAAUCCAAGCACCAGUGCUUCAUGGUGCUUGGCAAUAGUCCCAAGUACCAAAUAUGUGUUUGCUGGGUGACCAGCAGCAUUUUAAUACGCAUAUUUGUUUACACAUACUAGACCAAGAGCCCCUCAGAAGGAAGGGCUGUUCCAUGUAUCUAGUUUCCCCAGGACCUUGCAUAAUAUCUGGAACAGAUGAGACUUUAAUAAAUACUGACCGAACAAUUAGAAUUAAUGCAGUAGUGACAGCUAUUUCCUGAGGCAAUUUUGUAAGAUUUUGUAAUUUUAAAAUAGAAUAUAUGUAAAUUUUUGUUGAACUGUUUUUCAUAUUAACACUGGAGAAAAAAGACACCCGAACAUUCACAAAAAGGCACUGCUUAAGUAUCAGGAAGAAAUGCUUUACAGAAGUAGCAAACCAAGUAAGAACACACGGGAAUUUUUAAGUUUGUAAUAGUUAGAUUCAUGGAGACAGCAAGCAAUUUCAUUUUUCCUUAUGGCAUCUCUUUGAAAAAAGAGAUGGCCAACAAGAGAAAGGAAGGCAGCAUGGUGGUAUUCACAAAGGAAAUAGUCCAGAAGCAGGCAGGUAUCACAAAGCUUAGUGGGAAAACUGAUUUCACAAGAUUAGGAUCUGGUACACUAGCCAGGCUGGAAAGAGAGGUGAUCACCUUAUCAACAUAUAAAAAUGAAAUCAAUAACAAGAGUAGUACCAUUGUAACCCAGCGGGAAAAAAUGUAAAACCUAUAAAGGAGUACUGAUAGCUAUUAGAAGUUUCAUAUUUUAAAUGUUUUGAGUUGUCACAUGAUUAGAAAAUAUAAUGGAGGAUUUCAUAAUGAGCUAAACAAUGCAAAAUUGCACAGAUGUUACUCAUCAACAGCACUUACAAUAUGGUGACAAAUUAAUUUAUAUGACAAGAGUGGUUGGGCAUUACAGGAAUCUAG